rnacentral:rRNA from 2 species
CGCAUUAGCUAGUUGGUGAGGUAACGGCUCACCAAGGCGACGAUGCGUAGCCGACCUGAGAGGGUGAUCGGCCACACUGGGACUGAGACACGGCCCAGACUCCUACGGGAGGCAGCAGUAGGGAAUCUUCCACAAUGGACGAAAGUCUGAUGGAGCAACGCCGCGUGAGCGAUGAAGGCCUUCGGGUCGUAAAGCUCUGUUGUUAGGGAAGAACAAGUGCGAGAGUAACUGCUCGCACCUUGACGGUACCUAACCAGAAAGCCACGGCUAACUACGUGCCAGCAGCCGCGGUAAUACGUAGGUGGCAAGCGUUGUCCGGAAUUAUUGGGCGUAAAGCGCGCGCAGGUGGUCCUUUAAGUCUGAUGUGAAAGCCCACGGCUCAACCGUG